GACGAACGCUGGCGGCGUGCUUAACACAUGCAAGUCGAACGGAAAGGCCCUGCUUUUGUGGGGUGCUCGAGUGGCGAACGGGUGAGUAACACGUGAGUAACCUGCCCUUGACUUUGGGAUAACUUCAGGAAACUGGGGCUAAUACCGGAUAGGAGCUCCUGCUGCAUGGUGGGGGUUGGAAAGUUUCGGCGGUUGGGGAUGGACUCGAGGCUUAUCAGCUUGUUGGUGGGGUAGUGGCUUACCAAGGCUUUGACGGGUAGCCGGCCUGAGAGGGUGACCGGCGACAUUGGGACUGAGAUACGGCCCAGACGCCUACGGGAGGCAGCAGUGGGGAAUAUUGCACAAUGGGGGGAAGCCUGAGGCAGAAACGCCGCGUGCGGGAUGACGGCCUUCGGGUUGUAAACCGCUUUCGACUGUGACGAAGCGUGAGUGACGGUAAUGGGUAAAGAAGCACCGGCUAACUACGUG
rnacentral:rRNA from 1 species